CCUACGGGAGGCAGCAGUCGAGAAUCAUUCACAAUGGGGGAAACCCUGAUGGUGCGACGCCGCGUGGGGGAAUGAAGGUCUUCGGAUUGUAAACCCCUGUCAUGUGGGAGCAAAUUAAAAAGAUAGUACCACAAGAGGAAGAGACGGCUAACGCUGUGCCAGAAGCCGCGGUAAUACAGAGGUCACAAGCGUUGUUCGGAAUCACGGGGCGUAAAGCGUGCGGAGGCGGUUACGUAAGUCGUGUGUGAAGGGCCCGGGCUCAACCCGCGGACGGCACAUGUGACUGCGAGACUAGAGUAAAGGAGGGGGAACCGGAAUUCUCGGUGUAGCAGUGAAAUGCGUAGAUAUCGAGAGGAACACUCGUGGCGAAGGCGGGUUCCUGGACAUUAACUGACGCUGAGGCACGAAGGCCAGGGGAGCGAAAGGGAUUAGAUACCCUUGUAGUC
rnacentral:rRNA from 1 species